rnacentral:lncRNA from 1 species
GGAUUCAGAAAAACAGGAGGAAGGUUAAUGAAAGGUUACAUUACCCGCACAUUUCUUUUCUGAAAACUACAAUUGUCUUUCUCUUGGAACUGAGCUGCAUCACAGUAUUUGCCUGCCUAGAGAUACCUGCCCACUUGAGCACUGAGGCCU